UGGUGGAGCUAGACGGGAUCGAACCGUCGACCUCUUGCAUGCCAUGCAAGCGCUCUCCCAG
rnacentral:tRNA from 1 species